ACAAUCAACACAGCCUCCGCGCUGUCUUCGAGCCAAUUCGUUCCCCCUGCCCGCUCCGUGGAUUUGGAAUUGAGCGUGCUGAAUUUGAGUCGAGCUUCGGCUAGAAUUUAACCUUCCGUCUGGCAACUUCAGCCAAUGGCGUCAUCCUUCAAGUGACCUGAUUCAGUUUCUGCCCUCGCCGCCAUGGCGCAGGUUCUCGGAGCGUUAUGCUGCAGUCUUCGCGCAAUGUUCGCGACUUUCCCGGCUAGCAAGGUUCGCACGGAUGAGAACCCUCCCGCAAGCAGUGCUUCCUGUACGACACUGCGGGUACAGCACCAAGUUCCUGACGGGGAUUAGAACAGACACCAGCAAGCAGAAGUGGACCUCCGACAGCGAUCUGGUUGCUAAGACACCAGCCAGCCAAGCCAGCCACGCCAAGCCCAGCCAAGCCCAGCCCAGCCCAGCCCAGCCCAGUCAAGCCAAGCCAAGCCAAGCCAAGCCAAGCCCGGCCAAGCCCAGCCAAGCCAAGGCAAGCCAAGGCAAGUCCAGCCCAGCCAAGUCCAGGCAAGCCGAGCCCAUCCAAGCCCAGCCAAGCCAGCCAGCCUUAUUUUUUCCAUUGGCAACGUGGGUGCACGACCAAAAAGCAAGUAGAAUGGCGAAUAUUCGGCGGUGUCCUGACGAGUUGUACAGAAACGCCAGAUAGGGUAUCGCAAGAUGCCAGUCACGGUGGUCUAAUGAACCAUGCCUAUAGCACGACCAUGAAGGCGCGACUUAAGUGCUCUGUGAUGCCGUUCAAGGUGACAGGAAGCUCAUCUUGUGCGGCGUUGAGCGGCAGCACGAGAUUUCAUCAAUGACUCUGGGCAAAAAGGACCGGCCGCGGUCCAUGAGUAAAUGGCGUGGGGCCGCAUGGUUCAAUUUGACGUCGUGCAGGAGAAAGUGAACGGAGCUAGUAGCAGAGGUCUUGGCAUAAUUAACUUGGCAGAACCUGCCAAGGUAUUUUAGUACGGAAAAACAUUGUAAAAGCAGUGAUUUGUUCUACAUGCCCAAGCUAGCUGCUCAUGUAAGAUGCCCAUGCAAGAACCACAUAUAUGCUUUUACACCAACCCAUUUCAGGGCUGGGUAUCGGCAAAAAUCGAAAUUGAAAUAGUAUUUUUAUUUUCUUUUAAAGUGAACUGUUACUACCAUUGCCAUUCUGGAGAGGUUAUUCCUAGAUAUAGCUACCUUGUUAUAGGUUUAGCAGCUUAUUUUAGGAUAUAGCAAAUGGUGGCGUUUAAGCUAUAGACUAAUGUUUUUUCCCAUGACAAGUAAUUUGCGCAGAUUCAUUUAUUAAUAAUGUGAGCAAACUGCCAAUGCAUAUGCAUGGGCAGUGUGAGACAUGAAUGCCGCGAAUUUCAGCUUUUUAGAUAAAUCAAUGAACUCAGUGCACUGAUGAUUUUAUUUACUAUAGACUUUUUUAGUGACAACAACUCUGAGCAAAUUUAUUUAUCAGACCUGUAAGUUAGUCUCCGUAUGCGUGCAUUUCCAGUGUGAGGAAUGUAUGCGUGGAAUUUCAGCUUUUCAUUGUUGGGGGUGAAGAUGAGUGCAUUUAGGAACUUGUGGGCUUAUGUUUUAUUCCGCGAUGAGUAAUUCGCACACAUUUGCUGAUCAGACAUUUCACUUAGUGUCAGUAUACAUCCGUUUGCCGGUGCAAUGAUGUAUAAGUCGAAUCUGAUGCUUUCAGACAACUGAGUGAACACGAAUUUAGCUUCUAAUGUACUCUAGACUAUGUUAUUUUAGCGAUAACUCAUGUGCGGAAAUUCAUUUUUCAGUACUGUCAGCCAGUGUCAGCGUACGUGGACUUCCUGUGGGAACGGUGUAUGCGUGUGAUUCGAGCUUUUCAUUUGAUUGACUGAACAUGAGUGCACUGGAAUACUAGUUAGCUUAUGCUUUUAUUUCGUGAUAAGUAAUUUGCACAUAUUCGCUUAUGGGACAUGUAACUUUUUGUCAGUAUACUUCCAUUUGCAGGGGCAGAGAGGUAUGACUCGAAUCUGAGCUUUUUAGAAGUGAGUGAACAUGCACUGAAGUUCUAAGGUACUCUGGGCUUACGUUUCUUUUAGCGAUAAAUUAUUAGAGCAAAUUCGUUUAUCACUCCUGUAAGUAAAUGUUGGUAUGCGUGAAUUUCGAGCGGAAGCAAUGUAUGCGUAUAAUUUAAGCUUCUGAUUGCAGUGAGCGAAGAUGAGUGCAUUCAGAAAUUAGUGGGCUUAUGUUUUUUUUCAUCGAUAAGUAAUUUGCACAUAUUCCCUUAUCAGACAGGUAACUUAGUAUCAGUAUAGUUCCAUUUGCAGGAGAAGUUAUGUACGAGUCAAAUCUGAGCUUUUAAGAGGAGUGAGUGAACACGCAUUGAGGUCCUAAUUUACUGAUAGCCAUGUUUUAGCGGUAAGUGAAGUGCGCAAAUUCGCUUAUCAGUCGUGCAAGUCAGUGCAGCAUAAGUGCAUUUGCAUUGGGAGCGAUGUAGGCGUGGAAUUUGAGCUUUUCAUUGGAGUGAAUGAACAUGAGUGAACUGUAGGACGUGCGUGCGUAUGUUUUUUUCCACGAUAAGUAAGUUGCGCAUUUUCGCUUACCGUACAUGUAGCUUGCUGAAUAUAUACGUCCACGUGUAGGGGCAGUGGUGUAUGAUUCGAAUCUGAGCUUUUCAGAGGAGUGAGUGGACACGCAUUGAGGUUCUAAUUUACUAUAGGCUCUUGUUUUUUUAGCGAUAACAAAUUUGCGCAGAUUCGUUUAUCAGUCUGGUAAACAAGUUUCAGCAUACGAGCAUUUCCAGCGAGAGUGAUGUAUGCGUGGAAUUUGAGAUUUUCAUUGGAGCAAGUCAACAUGAGUGUAUAGGGGUACUAGUGUUUUCUGCGAUAAGCAUUUGGCACAUAAUCCCAUAUGCGACAUGUAACGUAGUUUUCCUAUACAUCCAUUUGCAGGGAAAGUGAUGGAUGUGUCCAAUCGGUGCUUUCCCGAGGUGUGACUGAACACACUCUGAGGUUCUGAUGUAGUAUAGGCUUACAUUUCUUUAGCGAUAGAAAACUUGAGCAGACUCCUUUAUCACUCCUGUGUGUUAGUGUCAGCAUACGUGCAUUUCCAGUGGGAGCGGUGUAUGCGUGCAAUUUGAGCGUUAGAUUGGAGUGAUUGAGCAUUAGUGCUAUGGGGUUCUAGUGGGCUAAAGCGUUUUCCUGGAGAAGUUACUCACAGUUAUUUGAUUCCGAGACGUGCAAUUUUGUGUCAGUAUAAGUCCAUUUACAGGGGUAGGGAUGUGUGAUUCACAUCUGAGUUUUUACAGGAGUGAUUGAUCACGCAAUGAAUGUAUAAUAUUCCUUAGGCUGUUUUUUUAAGCGAUAACAAAUUUUUGCAACUUGGUUUAUGAGUCCUGUAAGUUUGUGUCGGUAUACGUGCAUUUCCAGUGGGUGCGAUGUAUGCGAGGAAUUUGGGCUUUGUAUUGGAGUGAGUAAACAUGAGUGCACUGGAGCACCAGUGGGGUUAUGUUUUUUCCGCGGUAUGUAAUUUUACAUUGUCGCUUAAUCAGACGUGUAACUUAGUGUCAGUAUAC